AUGCUGCAAACUCUAAAUUUACAUGAAACAAUUGACCUUUUAAAGACAGAUAACAGCAAGUGCUAUAGUGACACAAUCACCUGAAAAUGCUACAGCACCUGUUUCUGAUGAGGACUCAGGAGAUAAAGAAGGUGGAACAAGAAAUAAUCCACCAGGUUCUUUGUUGCCUGCAACUGCAUAUCUUAUUCAAGAUGGCUCUGAUGCUGGAUCUGACUGAGAUGAUCCCUCAUAUGCACCUAAAGAUGACUCUCCUGAUGAAUUUUCAUCUACAUCUACUGCACAGCAACCUCCACCAUCAAAGAGGAGGAAAGUGACCAAAAUUGUUUGCAAAGGGAUAAAAGCUGGCCUAACUGUACAGCCCAUAAGAGGUAGAGUUACAGAAUCACCAAACGAUUUCUUCACCAAAAUGAGAACUCCCAUAGAAAUUCUUGAACUUUUUCAUGAUGAUGAGGUUGUUGAGUUCAUUGUCAAGGGCUCCAACUUAUGUGCUCGAAGUAAGGAUGUACAUCUUGGCUUGACUACCUCCAAAUUCAAAUCUUUUCUGGAAAUUAUUUUUCUGAGUGGUUACAUCUCAGUUCCUAGAAGGCAUAUGUUUGGGGAACAAAAACAGAUGCACAUAAUGUACUGGCAUAAUGUACUGCCAUGAGACGUGACUGUUUUGAACUACAUUUUCUAAUUUGCAUGUUGCUGACAAUGCAAAUUUAGAUCCAAUGGACCAGUUUUCCGAGUGGUGACCUCUUGCAAGCAAACUCAAUGAGAGAUGUAUGAAAUUUGCUCCAAAUGAAACAUAUUUCAGCUUUGAUGAAUCCAGGGUUCCUUAUUUUGGUUGUCAGGGGUGCAAAUAAUUUAUCUGGGGAAAGCCCAUUCGGUUUGGCUGUAAGAUUUGGUGUGGUACCACAUGUCUGGGCUACAUUGCGGGUUUCAGCUUUAUCAGGGUAAAAACCCUGAUACUAAACAUGAGGAAUCUGGUGUUGGUGCCUCACUUGUCCUUCACUUUGGUGAGGCAAUUACAGAGACACACCCUGGACAAUACCAUUUUGUAUUUGAUAACUUUUUCACCAGUAUUGCACUUCUUGAUAAACUCAGUUUAAUGGGACCUCAGGCAACAGGUACAGUGAGAAAGUAUUGCAUUGACAAGGCUCCACUGGAAUCAGCUGCAGCUCUAAAGAAAAAAAGAUAGAGGCAAAUUCGAUUAUCGAAUUGAUGGCAAAGGCAGUACUGUCUGCAGGUGGAAUGAUAACAGUGUUGUCACUAUUGCCUCAUCUGGUGCUGGUAUUGAUCCCCUGUGUCUUGUCAGUUCUUAUUCCCAGAAGCUGAAAAAGAAGAUCCAAGGUCAGCAGCCAAACAUGAUCAAAGUGUUUAUAACCAGUUCAUGGGAGUCAUACACACAGCAGAUGAAAACAUUAAUAAGUAUCAGGCAUCAAUCUGUGGAAAUAAAUGAUAUCAAGCCCUCUUUUGUUCUGUUUCAAAUUGGUCUUACAAAAUGCUUGGCAAUUGCAUAAAGCAUACGAUGAGAAGCCAGUGGAUUUUCCGGAGUUUCAUCGACGUGUGGUAUGCCAUUAUUUGAAGACCCAUGGUCAUCGUCUAAAACCUGGCCGAAAAAGACCUUCUCAGAAGCAUAACACUGACUCAUAUUAUGACGGCAUAAAUCACGGGAUAGUCAAACAGGGAAUGCAAAUGUGGUAUGCUGAGUGUCAUAAGAACAACACUUUUCAAUGUGAAAAAUGUGAUGUUACCUUGCAUGUGAAGCAUUCUGUUGAAUAUCACACU
rnacentral:lncRNA from 1 species